CACCUCUUUUGGAUUUAUCAAUGCAUCCUAUGUGUGUGUUUCUUUGUGUGUGUGCACUCUAGAAGCAUUUAUUCAGAAUCUCCUGAAGGACCUGAAAAAGCACCAGGUUAAUGUGGACAACCUGAGUCCCCUGGAGCUCGACGAAAUGGCUCAAGUGAUCGUGAACGUCUUGCACGGUGUGGAGACUGGAGAUCAGGAAAGUAUGGGGAGAGAGGCUGAAGGAAGACCAAGGCAACGGGCAGACAGCUCAGCCGCAGCCCUCUACGAAGAUGACAAGAAGGCUGAAGACAGUUUGCAAGAUAACAGAGCACAGGAAGAGGAUGAUAAAGUUUAUGAAGAGGUAAGAUGAAAUGUCUCUGAAUGUUUGAUUCACAUUAAAUCUAGGGUGAUUUUGUUAAUCUUUUUUC
rnacentral:lncRNA from 1 species